GGGAAGGUGGCUCAGUGGUAGAGUGCUUGCCUUUCAUGCAUGAGGUCCUGGGUUUGCUUUCACA
rfam:Dipodomys ordii contig_79738, whole genome shotgun sequence.